GGACGAACGCUGGCGGCGUGCUUAACACAUGCAAGUCGAACGGAAAGGCCUGCUUUCCCUUGUGGAUUGCGGGUACUCGAGUGGCGAACGGGUGAGUAACACGUGAGUGAUCUGCCCCCAACUUGGGUAUAAGCCUGGGAAACUGGGUCUAAUUCCCGAUAGGACUGCAGGGUGGUGCCUGUGGUGGAAAACGAUUUUCUAGUGGUUGGGGGUGAGCUCGCGGCCUAUCAGCUUGUUGGUGGGGUAAUGGCCUACCAAGGCGGCGACGGGUAGCCGGCCUGAGAGGGUGGACGGCCACAUUGGGACUGAGAUACGGCCCAGACUCCUACGGGAGGCAGCAGUGGGGAAUAUUGCACAAUGGGCGGAAGCCUGAUGCAGCGACGCCGCGUGGGGGAUGACGGCCUUCGGGUUGUAAACUCCUUUCGACCGCGAGGAAGCCACCUGGUUGGAAGGGUGGUGACGGUAGUGGUAGAAGAAGCACCGGCUAACUACGUG
rnacentral:rRNA from 1 species